UAUUUAUGGAUUACCGUCGAAGGCUGACAUGGUCAACCAAAAAAGAAGAUGUAUUUGGUGACUUUUCUAGUGACUUUCUUGGGAGUGAAGCUGUCUUUUUAGUUUACUCCUCUUGGUUUAAAAACAAACCAUACUAGUUUGCUAGAUUGUUAUGCCUGCGUUCACCAGAUGCAAACACGUCCACAACUGUUUGCGCUUUGAUUCUUAAACUUGUUGACAGCGAGCUGAACGGUUGAUUGUUUAGGUUAAAAUUUGACAUUUUGCUUGUUUGGUUUGAACGUAACCUAAAAUAAAUUUUCUCAAUAAAUAAGUUUUUGAAAUUAUUUUUUUAUUAAAAGAAAAAAGAAAAUGGAUUUAAUAGGUAAUAACGUAGCUGAAUGUCUUCAGUACCCGUUAUAUUAUACAUAAAAUCAUUAUAAAAUAUUCUAUAAUAUAUACAAUUUAAAUUCCCGCCAUAUUUUUUCAAUAGUCAACAUGUUUAAAAAGUUUAGCAUAAAUAUUUUAUGCUUGCAAAAAUAGCGAUCGCUUUCCAAACAUCUUUGCUGUCAAACGCAAAUUGAUUGCCAACGUUUGCGUCUGGUGAACGCGACCAUGUCAUUUCUAACAUGUGCAUUAAACAUCACUUCAACUUCAAAAUCUUCCUCAGAAUCGAUACCUGACAAAUCGCUAUCUUUUAUGAAAAAAAAUAAUAAUAAAUUAUCCAUAUUUUUAAGAUUAAUUUGAAAAAAAAAAGAACUAAUAAUUAUUUAAACGAAAAUCAUGAUCACAGGUACUAAUAGCGUGGAUUUUGGAUUAUUUAGAUUGAAUCAUCAGCUGAUCUCAUAGCAGUGACCAGUAAAAAUGAAAACAAUUCUAACUGCGCAAGUCAGUACAAAUAGUUUCUGCUUGAAGGCAUGUAUCGAAAGGACCGUUCAGUUACCGAUUUCGAAACGGUACAUGGAUCGCUUGGAACAACAUAGUGUACGAUACGAAUCAUCGUUCAUGUUCGCUUGGAACGCAUUUUUUAUAAUGCGCAUGACGAGGGCAGUACGAAGGACGGUUUUCAUGUCAUUUGGAACGCGCCUAUUGUAUCGAGAAACUAAGAUGACAUUAAGUGGGAGUACAGGCACGGAAGGGGAGAACUACUGUUGCAGCUUUACUAUGCUUAAGAGUGAAACAGCACUGAACCAAAACACAAAAGAUGGUGUCGUCACUUCGCUGAACAGGACACUCUAUGAUAAUAUAUGUCUAUGCCUCUGAUACGUCUAGUGCUCGGGCCACAGUAACGUCUAAUGUCGUUAAUUAACGCAUUACUUGCCAUCUCUGUAAUGCAAAUAAUGCUUUAAUUAACGGCAUUAGACGUUACUGUGGCCCCAGCAUAAAGGUGGGAAACUAUGUAAUGUAAACUAAAUUUAUAGGUUCGUAUCGAUAAUUUUACAUCUCUACAGUUUCAUCUCUUUUUAUUUAAUAACGUAUUAUGUUUUCCAUCUUUUGCUUGAUUUUGCCGGUUAUUAGCGCGCCCAUCACUGUAUAGUGGUAAAAACCUUCAAAUAUAAUAAUAUGAUUUGAAAAAUGUGCUCUGCUAUAUAAAUUUUACGGAAAUUUAUAAUCCAUGUUUUGUUUAUAGAUAUGAUGAAGCUAUCCACGUUGAUAUUGUGCCAUAUCAUUAACGUUAUUACUCUUUAAUAUUGCUUUUUCUAGCUUGUAAAACAAAUGUGCAAUGUAGUGUUCAUAUUUAGUUAAUAUUUGUUCUGUUGGCGUUAUUAGUUGUAGUGUUAUUAGCAGAUUAAUCAAAGAUUAACAAUAUUUUUUAUCGAUAUUGUAUGUUUAUGUCAUUGUCAGAUAAAUUUUGUAAUGCUAGUAAUUUGCUAUUUUGAUUCUAAAUUUAACAUUAAGAUGUAUGAAGGCCUAGAAGUAUGGAUCGAAAUGAUAAAACUUGAUAUGUAAUCGCAUGGGUAAGUUGGACAAGACAAAUUCGACAUACUUUAUUUAUUUACUUCAUAUUGAAAUAAUAUACUAUGUUUUUUAUACUUUUGUCAAAUUGAUCCCAAGUUCUUUCUGACUUUCUGGGUCCAAGGGGAACUUAGGAUCUGUUUUUCAAAAGUUAUCACACAGAAAAGCAGAUAACAACACAAUUUCAAUAAGAACUUGGUUCAGGUUCUUGAUAAUCUUGAAAUAUCUAAAAAAAAUAAUAAUAUGAAAAUAAUUAUUUGUCUCCGCUCUCCAUAUGGGAUUAAGAUACGGUGAUUUUAUGAUUCAGUUGUUUCGAUAUUUCGUCUUUUAAUUUGUCCAACCAUAAAUGCUUUCAUAGAAUUAGUCCCUCGUUUGGUUAGCAUUCAUCUGAUACUUUUACCAAUCACUUUUUUCGUUCAUCUUUUGAUUUUGAUUCUUAAAAUUUGGCAGUUUAUGUGGCGAUAGAUUAUAUCAGCGUUUACACAACGUCGUCCUAAUCUGUAAACUGAGUAACUCCAUAAUUCUCUGAAAAUGAGAUAUUACUGCCAUCUGUUUUAAGCCCCUACUUAUCGUUUAAAAAAACGUGCAUAUUUUUACCAGAUGAGUAAUAGCAACCUCCGUGUUUCCCUUGCCGCUAAAUUUAAUACGAAAAAUACGUAACUCUCUAGUUUGUCAUACCACAUGACUGACCUGACACUGUUUAGAAAGUGAUAUUUUCAAUAAAAAGUUGGUGUUAAGUAAUAUUAAAUCCUUAUUAAACAAUAUACAAAUGUUAGUGAUAUGUGUAUCUAUAAAAUAUUUCCGUUUUACCAUCUUUUCUUUGAAAAUGGGAGAUACGUAGUAUUCGCAUUAGUCAUAUUUAGAGAGAUAGUUUUUGUGUCGCCUGUAAAAUUUGCAUAAAUGGAGUUACGCAGUUUACAGAUUAGGUCAACGAUACGUUUUUUUCUUCUGCUUUUUUUGCCUUUAUCUCAUAAAACAUUGACAACCAAUUGCAUGAUCUUCAUUUUAAUUACUGCUGCUCGGAAUAGUGAUCUGGUGAGCCAUCAAUUCCUUCUUGUACCUCGUCUACAUUUACCUUCAAUUUUGCCUUCGAUAAUCAACUUCAGCAAGAUAUAUUUGUCAUUUUUCACAACUUAUCCAAACUUGUUCUUUUCUUGAUUGUGUUAACAAUUUCAGUUCGUUUAUGCAAUUGGCUCAAUAAUUUCUUCUUUCUUCAAAGAUUUUACUAAACAUAAAUUUGAAAUAUAUACUGAACAGUAAGGGCGACAGUACACAACCCUGUUGUACUCUCCUUAAGAUAAGUAUCUCUUCUAAUGUAUUUCCAUAAA
rnacentral:lncRNA from 1 species